UCAAAAGAAUAACCCCCUUUUGACUCCCACCUUACUAAAAUACCUAGUAAGGAAUUUUAUACCGUAGUCAAAGUGACUACCACACCUUACUAAAAAUAUUGCUCACUCUAUUUUUUCUUUCAUAGACUAUUUUUUAUCACAGUCUGUGAAAUACACUGCUCUCUAUUUCUUCACAUUUUUCCUCUCUUUUCUUGGUGCUGGUGUAUUAAACAAAGGAGAAGAGAACUCCUUUUAUAGAGAAAAUUUCCUCCCUAUGAUGUCAUCAAUGGCAUCAACAAACACACCUUUCUUGACCAAUUUUUUUUUCGGCCAACCACAUUUGAAAAAACAAAUGUGCAGUAUUUUUUGACACUUUUUCUUAGUAGCAUUUGCAGCAAAUGUUGAAGAAUGAUGCAUGGGGAUGGACCCAUCAAAUCUCCCCCUCCAGACCUAUGCAUAUGAAAGAGGUAUCCUUGUUCUUUCGGAGAGAGCUCAUCCCAACAAGUUCUUUGCUCAACUCGAACUUAUCUUUUGGCACAACCUUUGUCAGCAUAACUAUCAGGUUGCUCCCCCUGCUCUGCAUAAUCAUUAGGUUGCUCCCUCUCAAAUCAAGACCACACCACAUGUGAUCUCUUCUACAGUGAUAAUCCGUUUGAUCUUGCUAACCAUCUUGUACCGCCACUAUCGAUCAGUGGGACACGCCACCUGAUCACCACUCGCCAGGAAAACUUUUGACACAAGGCAUCACUUAUAGAUCUCCAACUAGUAAGUCACUUCACAUGAUCUACCAAAUAGCUCUUGCACUGCUAUUAUCACGGCUAACAAUCUUGUACCACCACUAUCAACUAGUGGGACACACUACCUGACCACCGCUCACCAGGAAAACUUUUGACACAAGGUAUCACCUGUAGGUCUCCAACUACUAGGUCACUUUAGAUAAUCUGCCAAAUAGAUCUUGCCAAACAUCUUGUACUGUCGUUAUUACCCAACGGAGUACGUCGCCUGAACACCACUCGCCAGGAAAACUUUCAACAUAAAGCACCACCUGCUGAUUUCUUGUUAUCAUACUGAGAACAUCUCACAAAACGUAGUCCACUCUCCGACACACCCGAACCUGGGCUCUGAUACCACUUUUUGGGAUCACAUGUAACUUCACCCAAACUCCGCACUAGUAUGAUAUUGUCUGCUUUGGACCAACCCUACACAGAUUUGUUUUUGGGCACCUCCCAAAAUGCCUCAUACUAAUGGAGUUGGGUGAUACUUUAAAAAUUGGGCAUGCUUCUUCUAUUUCUCCGAUGUGGGAUUGAUUUACUUCCCAACAAUCCUUCCCUCAAACCAAAACCACACCACUUGUGACCUUCCGUUCAAUGAUAAUCCAUUUGAAAGGGACACGCCGCUUGUACCGCCACCACCAAUCAGUGGGACACGCCGUUUGACCAUCACUUGUCAAGAAAACUUUUGACAUAAGGCAUCAACCGUAGAUCUCAACUACUUGGUCACUCACAUGAUCUGCCAAACAUCUUGUACCAUCGUUAUCUCCCAACGGGACACGCUGCCUGACCACCACUCACCAGGAAGACUUUUGACAUAAGGCACCACCUGCAGAUCUCUAGUCUUAUUAUCACAUUGGUAACUUUACGCAGUUCACUAUUCUGACACACCCGAACCUGGACUCUGAUACCACUUGUUGGGAAAAUUGAAUAAAUUUUCCAACUACAAUGGAACAACUGCUCUCUGAUACCACUUGUUGGGAUUGUGUGUAACUUCACUGUUGAAUUUUGCUAUCUCAUACGCAAAUAUCAUUUUCAUGAAUGAGCAGAACCUGCUCUCUGAUACUAGUUGUUGGAAAUAUAUUCCGCCACGAUAAUAAUAUUGCGUUAAUAAAGAGCAAUAAAUAUGACAAUAAUAAUACGCUUAACAAGAAGAACAAUGAGAGCGAUAAUGACAACAAGAUUUUUACGUGAAAACCCUUCUAAAUAAGAGAAAAAACACGGACCAAGAGGAGCAACUCAUAUUAAUAUAGUAAGGAAUUUUUAUACCGUAGCCACAAUACAAGACUCAAAGUGACUACUAAACACUCAAAAGAAAUAACCCCCUUUUGACUCCCACCUUACUAAAACACCUAGGAAGGAAUUUUAUACCGUAGUCAAAGUGACUACCACACCUUACUAAAAUUAUUGCUCACUCUAUUUUUUCUUUCAUAAACUAUUUUUUUUAAUCACAUCUUUGAAAUACACUGCUCGCUAUUUCUUCACAUUUUUCCUCUCUUUUCUUG
rnacentral:lncRNA from 1 species